AGAUUGAACGCUGGCGGCAUGCCUUACACAUGCAAGUCGAACGGCAGCGCGGGCAACCUGGCGGCGAGUGGCGAACGGGUGAGUAAUAUAUCGGAACGUACCCUGGAGUGGGGGAUAACGUAGCGAAAGUUACGCUAAUACCGCAUACGAUCUAAGGAUGAAAGUGGGGGAUCGCAAGACCUCAUGCUCCUGGAGCGGCCGAUAUCUGAUUAGCUAGUUGGUGGGGUAAAGCCUACCAAGGCAUCGAUCAGUAGCUGGUCUGAGAGGACGACCAGCCACACUGGAACUGAGACACGGUCCAGACUCCUACGGGAGCAGCAGGUGGGAAUUUUGGACAAGUGGGCAAAGCCUAGAUCCAGCAAUGCCGCGUGUGUAGAAGAGGCCGUUACGGUAGUAAAGCUACGUUUGACCGGUAAAGAAAGCGUACGUAGGUUAACCACCCGUUGGUCGUCC
rnacentral:rRNA from 1 species